rnacentral:rRNA from 1 species
GACGAACGCUGGCGGCGUGCUUAACACAUGCAAGUCGAACGGAAAGGCCCUGCUUUUGUGGUGUGCUCGAGUGGCGAACGGGUGAGUAACACGUGAGUAACCUGCCCUUGACUUCGGGAUAACUUCAGGAAACUGGGGCUAAUACCGGAUAGGAGCUCCUGCUGCAUGGUGGGGGAUGGAAAGUUUCGGCGGUUGGGCAUGGACUCGCGGCUCAUCAGCUUGUUGGUGGGGUAGUGGCUUACCAUGGCUUUGACGGGUAGCCGGCCUGAGAGGGUGACCGGCGACAUUGGGACUGAGAUACGGCCCAGACUCCUACGGGAGGCAGCAGUGGGGAAUAUUGCACAAUGGGCGGAAGCCAGAGGCAGCAGCGCCGCGUGCGGGAUGACGGCCUUCGGGUUGUAAACCGCUUUCGCAUGUGACGAAGCGUGAGUGACGGUAAUGGGUAAAGAAGCACCGGCUAACUACGUG